rnacentral:lncRNA from 1 species
GGCUCAGUCAGAUAAGUGUCUGACUCUUGGUUUUAGCUCAAGUCCUGGGAUUGACCCCCACAUUGGGCUCUGCACUGGGCAUGGAGACUUCUUGGGAUUCUCUCUCUGUCUCUUUCUCUCUCUCUCUCUAUGCUCCUUCCCCACCUGCACUGUCUUGCUCUCAAAGUAAAUAAAUAAGCCUUAAAAAAAUUCUCUUAGAACACCUGGGUGGCUCGGUUGGUUAGGCAUCCGACUCUUGACCUCGGCUCAGGUCAUUACUGCAUGAAGCCUGCUUGGGAUUCUCUCUCCCCCUUUCUCUCUGCCUCUCUCUCUCUCUCUCUCUCUCUCAAAAUAAAUAAACUUAAAAAAAAAUUCUCUCUUACUUAACCUGUGUCUUUUCCCCCUUCAUCCCAGCUACUUCCCUUUCUCAUCCCUUCCCUUUCCAGAUCACAUCCUACAAAGGAUACUUUAUAUUUGACAUUUUACUUCUAACUGCACUUAGCCAUUAUACUUCCCAUGACCGUGGUUUCCUCUUUAAACCUUGAACCUCCCCUACAACAACUUCCCCGUGCCCAGCCCCCAAUUCCAUGCCGGCCCCUUAUUACCAUGCCAGAAUGGAAUAAAUAUUCCUCUGAAUGAAUGAAUGAACUCUUACCAUUUCUAGUUGGACAAGGGUAACUUACAAAUCUCAAGUAUUGACAACUGAAGAGUUUUUUCCUAGAAGAUAAAUCUGCUAUGAGAAAGGAACUAAAAGUCAUUGGGUUUACCCAAUAUUUUUAAUAAUCAAGAAUAUGAAUUUUCUCUUAUUUAGGGUUUGUGGAGUGUUUACUGAGUAUGAGAUAGCACAGAAACACACCCUGCUGUGAGUCAAAAUUACAAUAGCUCUGUCAGGCUGCCAACUUCAAGACUCUGCGUAUAAUAGAAGUGAAAACGCUGCAAAGGAAGAAAGAGGCCAAGUAAAUUGAUGAGUCAUGUGUUCCUGUGCACAUAUUAUGGGACCUGGAACCAAUUAAAAGGGAAAAUUGUGGUGUUUUGGGAAGCUCCUCUUUGCAAUUUCAUGGUAAACUUGCAAUGGAACAUCAUCCUGAGUGGAAAUAUUUCUCAACAUCAGGUUAGUUUUGUUUUAUAUUUUAAUGAUACAUGUGAGCAUGCACACAUGCUUCACAAGCUUUGGAUGUAACUAAAAAAUUCUUUUUUGUGUUCUUUAGUAACUUUAGAAAGAUUUCUUCACAUUGAUUGUAUAUUUGUUAGAAUCAUUCCUUAAUAUUUUAUUUUAUUUGAACUAGAAAAUCAAAUCAUACUCUUAAUUAUGGGAACUCAACAUUCAGAAGACAUUAAUGGUUCCCAAGUUUAUUUGUACAUUUAACAAAAUCUCAAUAAAUAUGUUAAUAGAUUUGGGAGGGUGGUGUUU